UAACUAUUUUUAAGUAGAUGUUAAGACGUUGCUUGCGACUAGUUCAUCAAUAAUUCAAAAUCUUUUUGCAAAGCCCUUCAGCAGCAGAGAAUUUGAUUUCCUCGUGAAAGGCUAUUUUAUGCGGUGAAAAGUGGAAACCCCAAAUCAAACAACACACCGGCAAACACCCACGUACAUAAUUUAUGAAUACCACGUGAGCGAGCUCUGGGGAACAAUGUCGACUGACUAGAUGAUGUAGCAGCCCGACAGCUUGGAGAAUUUCAAUAAACAUCAUACAAUAUUCAUGGAAGUGCUUCCGAAGUUAACACAGAUUAUCGUAAUCCAUCGACUGCGGUACGUUAUGUGAAGGAAAUUAUGCAUUGACUUUAAACCCAUCCCAAGCAUCUCAUGGAAUCUGAUCUCUUGCCGUUAAAGUGAUUCCUGCUAAACAAACCGGAUUAUCCUCGACGAUGAAAGUUGGCCGCAUUUUGAUUCGACCCUCUGCCACCGACAGAAAACGACAGUCUGCUUGGGUGGGUCACACAGUCCUUUUCCGGAGUGGAAAAAAUCGAUACUAAUGGAACUACGUGAAACGCUACGGCUACCGCUUGCCGCACCAAACUGCUGCAAUAUCAAACGAUGACGGUCGGCGAUAGUAAAAGGAACGACAACGCUGACGACUGUGCAAACGAAAGCGGCAAGCUUUAACGCAGGAGAGGAUGGGUCGCGAUGCACCGGUGGAAUCAACAGGUGGUCGUUUCGGCGGAAUUGCCCCACUCACUGCCGCUUGAGCCUCGAGUAGGCAGCAACGGAUUCAACGGGCUUCCGUGAUGAUGGUGUGCUAAACGGUACACGUGUUCUUUGUACCAGUGCCGUGCAUGGAAACCCCGUUCAUUAGAAUCUGGCAUAGGUGACGUGACAUGGGUGUCCACACAGGACUGUGAAUGCACGACCGGAAAGUUAGGUGCAAAAAUGCCAAAGGGUUGUUUCCCUUGUCGUAAUUCGUAAUUGAAUCCUAAUUAAGGCCGACCUGGACUGUUUGUUUCCAUUAGAAUAAUUAAGUUAUAAACGAUAUCAAUAACGCAUGCUAGCUAGUGGCAAUUUUACUCAGAUUGACCGAUAGCGUGAAUUUAGUUAGAAUCACGAUCCCAUGAAUUUAGUUAGAAUCACGUCUGUCGUUUACUACCAUAACCUCAAAGGAUUUGAUAGCGUGUUAUAAUACGAUUUGUAACUUCAGAAUUAGACACGUGUGAACCAUUAGAGUAUCGUAGCUGCGAACAAUUCUGGGAAGAUAAAUGAGCCGGUAGCUAAUAAUGUCUCAACAUGGUUUUCUAUCGAAACUGAUAAGGCAAGUAUUUUGAUUAUAAUCAAACUGUUGAUCUUGUUUGUGAUUUCAGAUUGACUGAACCAGUGUGAUGUGCUUUCAAAUGUGCUGUAAAAAUUACUGGAGAACGUGACUGCUCCUAUAUACUCCCGUUAGGUUCUACUUAUAAGAUUUGGCAUUAUCCCAAACAUUCGCGUAAACUGGAAGAACAAAACUUUUAAAAGAACUGUA